UACGUAGGGGGCAAGCGUUGUCCGGAUUUAUUGGGCGUAAAGAGCGUGUAGGCGGCCAGACAGGUCAGCUGUGAAAACUCGAGGCUCAACCUCGAGACGUCGGUUGAAACCGUCUGGCUAGAGUCCGGAAGAGGAGAGUGGAAUUCCAGGUGUAGCGGUGAAAUGCGUAGAUAUCUGGAGGAAUACCGGUGGCGAAGGCGGCAUCCUGGACCGACAUUGACGCUGAGGAGCGAAAGCUAGGGGAGCAAACGGG
rnacentral:rRNA from 1 species